rnacentral:rRNA from 1 species
CGUCCCGCCGGCGACCGGCGCACGGGUGAGUAACACGUAUGCAACCUGGCCGCCACAGGGGGAUAACCCGCGGAAACGCGGCCUAAUACCCCGUGACGCCACCGGAGGGCAUCCUCCGGGUGGCCAAAGGAGCGAUCCGGUGGCGGAUGGGCAUGCGGCGCAUUAGCUAGACGGCGGGGUGACGGCCCACCGUGGCGACGAUGCGUAGGGGUUCUGAGAGGAGGGCCCCCCACACUGGGACCGAGACACGGCCCAGACUCCUACGGGAGGCAGCAG